GAUGAACGCUGGCGGCGUGCCUAAUACAUGCAAGUCGAGCGAACAGACGAGGAGCUUGCUCCUCUGACGUUAGCGACGGACGGGUGAGUAACACGUGGAUAACCUACCUAUAAGACUGGGAUAACUUCGGGAAACCGGAGCUAAUACCGGAUAAUAUAUUGAACCUCAUGGUUCAAUAGUGUAAGACGGUUUUGCUGUCACUUAUAUAUCGAUCCGCGCCGCAUUAGCUAGUUGGUAAGGUAACGGCUUACCAAGGCAACGAUGCGUAGCCGACCUGAGAGGGUGACCGGCCACACUGGAACUGAGACACGGUCCAGACUCCUACGGGAGGCAGCAGAAGGGAAUUUUCCGCAAUGGGCGAAAGCCUGACGGAGCAACGCCGCGGGAGUGAUGAAGGUCUUCGGAUCGUAAAACUCUGUUAUUAGGGAAGAACAAAUGUGUAAGUAACUAUGCACGUCUUGACGGUACCUAAUCAGAAAGCCACGGCUAACUACGUG
rnacentral:rRNA from 1 species